GAACCACCUCUUUCAUCUUAAGAUUCUUUACUGAAAUCAAUCAAUCAUGAAAUUUACCAUAAGGAAUCAUCCAUCUCCAAAACAGUUUUGUUGUGUUAAUUUGUUGUGCUGAAUUACAAGUUGCUGAAGUUACUGAACGAAUUUCAGGUUCGGGUCUCUUUGAUUCAGUUGAUUACUUGUAUAAAGUUAUGUCUUUGAUAAAUACUUUGUGGAAUUGGGUGAUUGUGAAAUCAGGGCAUCAUGAUUAAGUGUUCUCAUCCUUGAAGCAUGCUAAUAAGAUUGAUAGAAAUAUUGUACGCGAACUUUUGAAGGAUGUUUAUGCCGUACUCGUGUUCCAUCUUUGUAAGCUACAUGCUAUUACAGUUUGACACACCUAGAUAUGAAUGAGAAUGUUGUUAACUCUUUGUAAAAAUAGUUGUUUUUAUACUUGUUUGAAAAUGAACAAUAGAAGGAGAAGCAUUUGCAUUCGUGAAAAUUUUGUACAGUCAAGUAUUGCUGAACAUUCAUUAUAGCACUAUUGAAACUAUGUGGGUUCUUUGUUAAGAAGUACUCUUAUAAUCUGAAUGUAGUGUGGUCCCUUAUCUUUUUUGUGUGUGAAGAAAUGAAGAAAAGUCUGACAA